UACAGAGGUCCCAAGCGUUGUUCGGAUUCAUUGGGCGUAAAGGGUGCGUAGGCGGCGCGGUAAGUCGGGUGUGAAAUCUCGGAGCUUAACUCCGAAACUGCAUUCGAUACUGCCGUGCUUGAGGACUGGAGAGGAGACUGGAAUUUACGGUGUAGCGGUGAAAUGCGUAGAUAUCGUAAGGAAGACCAGUGGCGAAGGCGGGUCUCUGGCCCGGUACUGACGCUGAGGUGCGAAAGCGUGGGGAGCAAACAGG
rnacentral:rRNA from 1 species